rnacentral:rRNA from 1 species
UAGAUAGAAACCGACCUGGCUCACACCGGUUUAAACUCAGAUCAUGUAAAAUUUUAAAGGUCGAACAGACCUAAUUCAUUAGCUUCUACACCAACAAUUCAUUUUAAUCCAACAUCGAGGUCGCAAUCUUUUCUUUCGAUAAGAACUCUAAAAAAAAUUACGCUGUUAUCCCUAAGGUAAUUUAAUCUUAUAAUCUACAUCCUAGGAUCACCUACUCACAAAUUAAUGUACUAAUAUAAAAAAAGUUCUCUUAAUUUUUCUAUCACCCCAACAAAAUAUUUCUAUAAAUAACAAAAUUUUAACAAUCCUUAAACUUCUUUAACUAUGAAAUAUAAAACUCUAUAGGGUCUUCUCGUCUUCUAUUAAAAUUUAAGCUUUUUAACUUAAAAAUAAAAUUCUAAUAAAUUUUUACAGAGACAGUCUUUUUUUCAUCAAAUCUUUCAUUCAAGCUUUCAAUUAAAAAACUAGUGACUAUGCUACCUUUGCACGGUCAAAAUACCGCGGCCGUUAAACUCCUCACUGGGCAGAUCAGACUUGAAAUUAUAAUCAACAAGACAUGUUUUUAAUA